ensembl:lncRNA
UCGUCUUUGAGAAAGUGCAGUCCUUCACUUGUUUCACUGUGUAUUUUUAUAACAGGCGCCUCCUUGACCGUCCACGAUAUUGCAGAUCCGUGGUGCCAAAAGCUUAUGUAUACUUCGUCAAACUGACCACGGCAGCUCGACAUGUGAAGGCGGGACCCGGCCAGGCCUGCAGAACAGGCCUGAGAAUUUCAAAAAGUUAGCAGCCUACCUGCUCCAGAAAAGACAAAAUAAUGGAGAUAAAAGAAGACCACCAUCCUUGUUUUAAAUAUUUGCAGUCCUGUCUUCAUAGGUAAAAUAAAAUAAAUGGCUGAUAGUUGCAAUAAUGUUUGCAGUUACAGAAUAUGAAGAAGAAUAAUGGGACUGAAAUCUACUUCUUCAGGUUUUACAGUCCUAAUGAAAAUUUGGUCCGGAGCACAAAAAUUAUCUGGAAAAGUGCCUGAAAUUUCCCUGUCGCAGAUGUUUCAACAGAAGGUGCUUGCAUGCCAUUCGUUAAUACGGCGCCAUACGGGACUCAGUGUGACCACCGCAAUAUAACCACAAACAUCAAGGACGGUCUUCUACAGCCAAUACUCCAAAAUUUGGUAAAUUUGUUACCCAUCGAGUCCAUAUUCUCCAUUUUUAUCAUUUUUUCAAACAUCCCUGCUUUGCCUUUAGCUCGCCACACUGAAAGUCUAUAAUAUCUUUAGCCUAUUUCCAUAAGAAAGCUCCUAGUCCUUUAAUCAUUUUAGCUGUCCUUCCCUGAAUUCUUUGCUGCUGGGGGUCCGUUUUUAUUAAGUGUGGUGAAUAGACUACAGG